rnacentral:rRNA from 1 species
AUUGAACGCUGGCGGCAGGCCUAACACAUGCAAGUCGAGCGGAUGAGUGGAGCUUGCUCCAUGAUUCAGCGGCGGACGGGUGAGUAAUGCCUAGGAAUCUGCCUGGUAGUGGGGGACAACGUUUCGAAAGGAACGCUAAUACCGCAUACGUCCUACGGGAGAAAGCAGGGGACCUUCGGGCCUUGCGCUAUCAGAUGAGCCUAGGUCGGAUUAGCUAGUUGGUGAGGUAAAGGCUCACCAAGGCGACGAUCCGUAACUGGUCUGAGAGGAUGAUCAGUCACACUGGAACUGAGACACGGUCCAGACUCCUACGGGAGGCAGCAGUGGGGAAUAUUGGACAAUGGGCGAAAGCCUGAUCCAGCCAUGCCGCGUGUGUGAAGAAGGUCUUCGGAUUGUAAAGCACUUUAAGUUGGGAGGAAGGGCAGUAAGUUAAUACCUUGCUGUUUUGACGUUACCGACAGAAUAAGCACCGGCUAACUUCGUGCCAGCAGCCGCGGUAAUACGAAGGGUGCAAGCGUUAAUCGGAAUUACUGGGCGUAAAGCGCGCGUAGGUGGUUCGUUAAGUUGGAUGUGAAAGCCCCGGGCUCAACCUGGGAACUGCAUCCAAAACUGGCGAGCUAGAGUAUGGCAGAGGGUGGUGGAAUUUCCUGUGUAGCGGUGAAAUGCGUAGAUAUAGGAAGGAACACCAGUGGCGAAGGCGACCACCUGGGCUAAUACUGACACUGAGGUGCGAGAGCGUGGGGAGCAAACA